UACGUAGGGUGCAAGCGUUGUCCGGAAUUAUUGGGCGUAAAGAGCUCGUAGGCGGUUUGUCGCGUCGGCUGUGAAAACCUGGGGCUCAACCCCGGGCCUGCAGCCGAUACGGGCAAACUAGAAUUCGGUAGGGGAGACUGGAAUUCCUGGUGUAGCGGUGAAAUGCGCAGAUAUCAGGAGGAACACCCGUAGCGAAGGCGCUCAUCUGGCCCAAUACUGACGCUGAGGCGCGAAAGCUAGGGGAGCAAACGGG
rnacentral:rRNA from 1 species